rnacentral:rRNA from 1 species
CUACGGGUCGCAGCAGUGGGGAAUAUUGCACAAUGGGGGAAACCCUGAUGCAGCAACGCCGCGUGGAGGAUGACGCAUUUCGGUGUGUAAACUCCUUUUAUAUACCAAGAUAAUGACGGUAGUAUAUGAAUAAGCACCGGCUAACUCCGUGCCAGCAGCCGCGGUAAUACGGAGGGUGCAAGCGUUACUCGGAAUCACUGGGCGUAAAGGGCGCGUAGGCGGGUUAUCAAGUCUUGAGUGAAAUCCAACGGCUCAACCGUUGAACUGCUUGAGAAACUGGUAGCCUAGAGUAAGGGAGAGGUAGAUGGAAUUGGUGGUGUAGGGGUAAAAUCCGUAGAGAUCACCAGGAAUACCCAUUGCGAAGGCGAUCUGCUGGAACUUUACUGACGCUGAGGCGCGAAAGCGUGGGGAGCAAACAGGAUUAGAUACCCCGGUAGUC